AUUAAAAACCAAUGCCCUUCGGGGCUCUCUGGUGAUUCAUAAUAACUUCUCGAAUCGCACGGCCUUGCGCCGGCGAUGGUUCAUUCAAAUUUCUGCCCUAUCAACUUUCGACGGCUGGGUCUUGGCCAGCCGUGGUGACAACGGGUAACGGAGGGUUAGGGCUCGACCCCGGAGAAGGAGCCUGAGAAACGGCUACUACAUCCAAGGAAGGCAGCAGGCGCGCAAAUUACCCAAUCCCGACACGGGGAGGUAGUGACAAUAAAUACUGAUACAGGGCUCUUUCGGGUCUUGUAAUUGGAAUGAGUACAAUUUAAAUCCCUUAACGAGGAACAAUUGGAGGGCAAGUCUGGUGCCAGCAGCCGCGGUAAUUCCAGCUCCAAUAGCGUAUAUUAAAGUUGUUGAGGUUAAAAAGCUCGUAGUUGAACCUUGGGCCUAGCCGGCCGGUCCGCCUCACCGCGUGCACUGGCUCGGCUGGGUCUUUCCUUCUGGAGAACCGCAUGCCCUUCACUGGGUGUGCC
rnacentral:rRNA from 1 species